GUGCAGUCUCAGCUCACUGCAGCCUCAAACUCCUGGGCAGCUCAGAUGGUUUACUAGGUGAGUGUGUCCUCGAUUAUUUAAAUCAGGGGUCCCCAAUCCCCAGGCCACAGAUUGUUACCAGUCCAUGGCCUGUUAGGAACCAGGCCACACAGUAGGAGUGCACAGCCAGAGAACAACACAUCACACACAGGAAACAGUUGUGCUCAUGUGAUGGGGGCCUCAGCACUAGGAAGGAGUGGACUAUUGGCGCAUGUAGCAGCUUGAAUAAAUCUGAAAGUCACUACACUGCGUAAGAGAAGCCAAAUAAAAAAGUUCAUGCUGUGUACAGAGGGUGUUGAGAAUGCCUCCUACGUGACGGAAAGCAGAUCCGUGGUUCCCUGCAGACCGGCAGGAGCAGAUUCCAAAGGCACAGGAAGAAGCUUGCAGGUUGCCUGUUCACUCUGGCUAGUCAUAUGCAGAAAACUGAAACUAGACCCCUUCCUGACACCUUAUAUAAAAAUUAACUCAAGAUGGAUUAAAGAUUUAAACGUAAGACCCAAAACCAGAAAAAUCCUAGAAGAAAACCUAGGCAAUACCAUUCAGGACAUAAGCAUGGGCAAAGACUUCAUGACUAAAACACCAAAAGCAAUGGCAGCAAAAGCCAAAAUUGACAAAAGGUUUCCUUAACGACAACAAAAAAGGGAGUAAUCCUACCUACUGUAAGAGUCAUGACUCUUGAUUGCAGCUGACAGAAGCUCAUGACAGCCUGGUUUAGAUAAAAGGGGAAAGGACGACUGGAAGAAUCUUGGAGUUGGGAAUAUGGCACAUAAUUGAAGGAAGAGCAAUAAAACUAUAAUUCUUCCCGUGGAGACUGGAGUUUCCA
rnacentral:lncRNA from 1 species